CAGUGAAAUGUGAUAAGUAAUGUGAAUUGCAGAAUUCAGUGAAUCAUCGAAUCUUUGAACGCAUCUUGCACCUUUUGGUUAUUCCAAAAGGUACGCCUGUUUGAGUGUCAU
rnacentral:rRNA from 1 species